CCAAAGUGAUGCAACAACUGUUUGCUUGACAUUUUGUGUGGAAGCAAAAAUAACUGAUUUAAUGAGACUGAUUG